UCAUCUUGUUUCCAACAGUCUGGCUGAAAAGAAGGUCAUGGAAGAGUGGCCACAGGCCUCAAGGAGUUACGGACUAUGAGAGACCAAAGGAACACACAUAAGUCACAUACAACAGAAGGUCUCCUCAUCAUUCCCUGGAGAGAAAGAGUCACAAGUGAGAACAUCUGAUUGGCUGGGCCAAGGUCACAUGCCUCUGCCUUUCUGGCUGGAGAUCUGUGUGGCGGCUGGAGCGGGCGCUACCAUCUCCAUCUUCCAGGCAACACAGUGAAAGAAAAUAGAAAGGCUACCUGACCUUGUGUCUCCUGAUUGCCAAUUCUGUUGAUUCCACUGCUGUCCCAGGCAUCCAGACAGUCCCCAAACCUCUGCAGAUCCAAAGCGCAAGCUUUUCUGCAGUUCCAGAAAUGUGCGAACUGCAUCAGCCUACAUGGGGUCAUCCUAAUAGUCCCUGUGGAGAUGUGUUAGUAAUAUGACCAUAUGUAUUUUUUUAACCUAUGAUGAACACACAAAAAGGGGUUAUUGGCCUCUUGUUUUUUUUCUCUUCACUCUUUAUUGCUGUUCUCAUGGUAGAUGUCGCGGGGCCUAGCAUGACCCAACACCUAUCAGAGAGGCCCUUAGCCCUUCAGUUUUUCCACUGAUUUUCAGAACUCCCCCAGAACUUUCAAUAAAUUUCUC